rnacentral:rRNA from 1 species
UACGAAGGGGGCUAGCGUUGCUCGGAAUUACUGGGCGUAAAGGGCGCGUAGGCGGAUACUUAAGUCGGGGGUGAAAGCCCGGGGCUCAACCUCGGAAUUGCCUUCGAUACUGGGUAUCUUGAGUUCGGGAGAGGUGAGUGGAAUGCCGAGUGUAGAGGUGAAAUUCGUAGAUAUUCGGCGGAACACCAGUGGCGAAGGCGACUCACUGGCCCGAUACUGACGCUGAUGCGCGAAAGCGUGGGGAGCGAACAGG